rnacentral:rRNA from 1 species
GAUUAACGCUGGCGGCGUGCAUAACACAUGCAAGUCGAACGAUGAAACUUUUUUGAUUUCUUCGGAAUGAUUAAAAGUGGAUUAGUGGCGGACGGGUGAGUAACGCGUGAGUAACCUGCCUUAGAGAAGGGGAUAGCCUUUGGAAACGAAGAAUAAUACCCUAUGAAACCAUAACCGCGCAUGAGGAAUUGGUCAAAGAUUUAUCGCUCUAUGAUGGACUUGCGUCUGAUUAGUUAGUUGGUGGGGUAACGGCCCACCAAGACAGCGAUCAGUAGCCGGCUUGAGAGAGUGUACCGCCACAUUGGGAGUGAGACACGUCCCAGACACCUACGGGAGGCAGCAGUGGGGAAUUUUGCACAAUGGGGGAAUCCCUGAUGCAGCGGCGCCGCGUGAUUUAGAAGGCCUUCGGGUUGUAAAAAUCUUUUCUAUGGGAAGAAAAUGACAGUACCAAAGGAAUAAGGACCGGCUAAUUACGUG